CUGUGUGAGCAGAGCAUUCUGAGUCAGUUGUCCUCAGAGGAGAGGAAACCAACAACUCUGGAGGCAUCAGUGCUUGCUCUUUGCAUGCCUGACGGCUGAGACAAAGCCAUGACCUGCUGUGUCUGACCACAGCUCUAUCACUAAUACCAUUCCAUUCAAUGUUCAGCUGGGUUCACACUCGACAGGAUGGUAGCACCUUUGUUCCGUGCUGUGGGUGCAAUCCAUCAUAAGGAUAGGGAGAAACCCCAUAAAUUUAAAUAGCUUCAAGAAGAGAGAAAAAGAAACAGCAAAAAAAGAAAGCAGCUCUGCAAAACAGCGAUUUGCAGAGAGCUUCAGGUGAAGUCCAUUUGAAAACAGUUUUUCUGUUUUCUCUUAGCCAGAGGAGGUAACCAGUACAUAGGAAAACAGGUGGAUUUCAGCUGGACCAGAUGGCAGAUCUGCCUUGGGCUGGCACUGUUGCUGACACAAGGAGACAGCAUCAAGGACCUCGCUGGAGCGAAGGUAAACAACCACCCACUGCUCUCCUCUCGUCCACUGCUCUAGUCAUCUCAUUGCAGAAGGCUAUCAGGUUGGUAAGGCACAAAUCCACACUGACUACCCUUAAUCACC